GGUGAAAUGGAUUGGGAGUUAGGGUGGGUGGAGAGGUCUGAGGGACGGGAUCUUGAUGCGAACGAGGGAGAGUUGUAGGAAAGUGAAGGUGAGGGUCUCGGGGAGGUGCAGGGACUGCUGUUGGAUAGAGUGGAUAGGGGAAGCAAUCCAUGGCAUGAUGGCUGUUACAGCAAGGAAUUAGUAGUUUCUGUGCUGAACUGGAAUCUCAGAGGCAGUGCCCUCAGUGGGAGAGGGCAGUGAUGGGACCUGCUUGGAGUUCCUAUCCCACAGUACACACAGCUGCAUGAGUUAGGCAUGGGAUCAGUUCAGCAAAAGAAAUUACAGCAGUGUUUAUACAUA